rnacentral:rRNA from 1 species
AAUAUUUGUAAGAUAUAGACAUUCGAUAUC